rnacentral:rRNA from 1 species
CCUACGGGUGGCUGCAGUGGGGAAUAUUGCACAAUGGGGGAAACCCUGAUGCAGCAACGCCGCGUGAAGGAAGACGGUUUUCGGAUUGUAAACUUCUAUCAAUAGGGAAGAAAGAAAUGACGGUACCUAAAUAAGAAGCCCCGGCUAAAUACGUGCCACCAGCCGCGGAAAUACUGAGGGGGCAAGCGUUCUCCGGAUUUACUGGUUGUAAAGGUAGAGUAGGCGGCAAAGUAAGCGAUAUGUGAAAGCCUUAAGCUUAACUUAAGUAUGGCAUAACGAACUAUCUAGCUAGAGUACAGGAGAGGAAAGCGGAAUUCCUAGUGUAGCGGUGAAAUGCGUAGAUAUUAGGAUGAACACCAGUGGCGAAGGCGGCUUUCUGGACUGAAACUGACGCUGAGGCUCGAAAGCGUGGGGAGCGAACAGGAUUAGAUACCCGUGUAGUC